CUCUUAGAUGUCCUGGGCCGCACGCGCGCUACACUGAGUGUCUGAGAUACGAGUCUGCCUGGUCCGGCAAGGUCUAGGUAAUCGCUAAAAGACACAUCAUGCUUGGGAUAGAUUAUUGCAAAUAUUAAUCUUGAACGAGGAAUUCCUAGUAAGCGCAAGUCAACAGCUUGCGUUGAUUACGUCCCUGCCCUUUGUACACACCGCCCGUCGCUACUACUGAUUGGAUGUUUAAGCGAGGUUCUCGAACUGCUAGCGACUUAGCUUCGGUGAGGUCGCAGUGUGGGAAGUGAACCUAGCUUUGGUGUCUAGAGGAAGUAAAAGUCGUAACA
rnacentral:rRNA from 1 species